GUAGGUGGCAAGCGUUGUCCGGAAUUAUUGGGCGUAAAGCGCGCGCAGGCGGUCCUUUAAGUCUGAUGUGAAAGCCCACGGCUCAACCGUGGAGGGUCAUUGGAAACUGGGGGACUUGAGUACAGAAGAGGAAAGCGGAAUUCCAAGUGUAGCGGUGAAAUGCGUAGAGAUUUGGAGGAACACCAGUGGCGAAGGCGGCUUUCUGGUCUGUAACUGACGCUGAGGCGCGAAAGCGUGGGGAGCAAACAGGGACUAGAUACCCUGGUAGUCCACGCCGUAAACGAUGAGUGCUAAGUGUUAGGGGGUUUCCCGCCCCUUAGUGCUGCAGCUAACGCAUUAAGCACUCCGCCUGGGGAUACGGCCGCAAGGCUG
rnacentral:rRNA from 1 species